GAUGAACGCUGGCGGCGUGCUUAACACAUGCAAGUCGAACGAUGAAGCCCAGCUUGCUGGGUGGAUUAGUGGCGAGCGGGUGAGUAACACGUGAGUAACCUGCCCUUAACUCUGGGAUAAGCCUGGGAAACUGGGUCUAAUACCGGAUAGGAGCGUCCACCGCAUGGUGGGUGUUGGAAAGAUUUAUCGGUUUUGGAUGGACUCGCGGUCUAUCAGCUUGUUGGUGAGGUAAUGGCUCACCAAGGCGACGACGGGUAGCCGGCCUGAGAGGGUGACCGGCCACACUGGGACUGAGACACGGCCCAGACUCCUACGGGAGGCAGCAGUGGGGAAUAUUGCACAAUGGGCGCAAGCCUGAUGCAGCGACGCCGCGUGAGGGAUGACGGCCUUCGGGUUGUAAACCUCUUUCAGUAGGGAAGAAGCGAAAGUGACGGUACCUGCAGAAGAAGCACCGGCUAACUACGUG
rnacentral:rRNA from 1 species